GACGAACGCUGGCGGCGUGCUUAACACAUGCAAGUCGAACGGAGAUUAUUAAUGAAGCUUGCGAUUUAAUAAUCUUAGUGGCGGACGGGUGAGUAACGCGUGGGCAACCUACCCAUAAGCGGGGGAUAACAGUUGGAAACGACUGCUAAUACCGCAUAAGCUAUUGAGGUCGCAUGACCUAAAUAGUAAAGGUGGCGAAAGCUAUCACUUAUGGAUGGGCCCGGUCUGAUUAGCUAGUUGGUGGGAUAGCAGCCUACCAAGGCAACGAUCAGUAGCCGGCCUGAGAGGGUGGACGGCCACACUGGGACUGAGACACGGCCCAGACUCCUACGGAGGCAGCAGUGGGGAAUAUUGCGCAAUGGGGGAAACCCUGACGCAGCGAGCCGCGUGAGCGAAGAAGGCCUUAGGGCGUAAAGCUCUGUUGUAAGGGACGAAUGUUUAUCUGGCGAACGUCAGAUAAAGUGACGGUACCUUACCAGCAAGCCCCGGACUAACUACGUGA
rnacentral:rRNA from 1 species